GGAGGGUAAGCGAAUGGCUAGCGGUCUCACUGGAAAUGAGAUGCCCCUUGACCGGGGUUGCGGGUUCGACUCCCGUGCCCUCCG
rnacentral:tRNA from 1 species